UUCCGGACCCCAGAACUUCCAGGCGGUUACACCCUGGGAACCUCCUAGGUGAACCCCCCCCAGUAGGCGCGACCCCAGUGUCCUCACCAAGUUCCGGCCCCUUCGCGGCCCCUUCUGUACCGAGGCUUCCACGGUUGCCUAGGCGCCUACUGUGUACCGUCAGGAGCUGGAGGCACAGAGCCCCAAGGCCUCGUGGGGCUGGAUUCUGCAGGGGGUAGUCUCACUUGUUGCUGAAUCACGAGACGGAAGUUUGUAACUAGGGAGAUUUAGCGGAGUCUUCGACGGCUGGAGUUGACCAGGAACGUGAUCCACCAAAAGACACUGCCACUGGUGGGAAGUCCGUGCUCAGCUACUCCAAUUGGUUGCAGUUGGCUAUUUGGCCAAGCUCCAGCUGUCAGCCACCCCUGGAGCCCCACCAUUGUAAAGCCACCCCUUCAGCAGACCACCUGACUUCAGUCAGUGUCCAGCCGGGCCCAGCCCACACUCCUUACUUACAGAGCAGUGGCAGGUGUUUCUCAUCAGCCACUGAGUCUAGUAGCAGGCUACUUCCAUUAUCUUCUUGGUACGCUUAGUUCAACAUGGCUAAGCUUGCUCCAGUGGCUGCCUGCAGCAGAGAGACACACCCAGGGACAUCCAGGUGUUAGUGGAAAGUCGUCUUCACCAUGUACACUGACGUCCAGAUUACUUGGGCAGCUCAUGGCACAGUUCACACCUUUGCAGACAGUCUGGUAAGCUUUCCUCCAUUACUCUGUUUGAGUG
rnacentral:lncRNA from 1 species